UCAUCUGUCAUUGGGGGUAUUCUGAAGGAAAGGAAGAGAAGCCUGGUUUACAUCUAAUCUGGGGAUCAGGCUGUUGUGUGAGGUAGUUCAGUGGCUGAUCAGGGCCGGGCAGCCAGAGCCACACGGUGAUGAGCUUCACAGAGCCUGUGAGUGAGUGUGGACUGUACUCAGUAGGUAGAGGAGAGUCCCUGGCAGCUGCCCAGACAAGGUGACUAUGCUGCUUAAGCUGCACUGUGAUCCUCACUACACGGACUUGCUGUCUGGACAACAUAACUAAAGCACAGUACUGACCUAGUCAUUCCCCUGCUCAAGACUCUCAGGGGCUUCUUGUGGCUGCUGAAUGAAGUCCGAAUUAUAUGCAAACCUGGGCUGCAAUGUGGAGAAUGGAUUGCAAGCAACAAGACUGACGGUAUAAGUAUCUGAGGCUACUAUACCACUUGUUGAUGAAAUGAAUAGUUGAAGCAGCCAGUUCAGCCUGUGAUAUAAGCAGCUUUAGAUAUCUUCCAGCGAUGUGCAGAGUGGACUCACCUGACAGACCAAGAGAAACUGCACUCCCGGAGAAGAGAAAUGCAUCUCCGGGAAGCUGAAGCCCCAGUAUGUAAAUUCUUGGCUCCUGGAGAGGAACCUGAGGUAGUGUAAUGGUUAAUAUUGAGUGUCAGUUUGAUUGGAUUGAAGAAUGCAAAGUAUUGUUCCCGGGUGUGUCACUGAGGCUGUUGCCAAAGGAGAUUAACACUUGAAUCAGUGGACUGGGAGAGGCAGACCCACUCUCAAUCUGGGUGGACACCAUCUAAGCAGCAGCCAGCACAGCUAGGAUAAAAGCAGGCAGAGGAACGUGGAAGGGCUAGACUGGCUGAGUCUACUGGGCUUCAUCUUUCUUCCGUGCUGGAUGCUUCUUGCCCUGGAACGUGAGACUCCAAGUCCCUCAGCUUUUGGACUCUUGGACUUAGACCAGUGGUUUACGGGGGCUCUCGGUGGCCACAGACUGGGUCUGAA